rnacentral:rRNA from 1 species
GAUGAACGCUAGCUACAGGCUUAACACAUGCAAGUCGAGGGACCGGCGCACGGGUGAGUAACACGUAUCCAACCUGCCCUUUACUCGGGGAUAGCCUUUCGAAAGAAAGAUUAAUACCCGAUAUAAAGGAUGGGGAUGCGUUCCAUUAGGUUGUUGGUGAGGUAACGGCUCACCAAGCCUUCGCUGGAUAGGGGUUCUGAGAGGAAGGUCACCCACAUUGGAACUGAGACACGGUCCAAACUACUACGGGAGGCAGCAGUGAGGAAUAUUGGUCAAUGGGCGCUAGCCUGAACCAGCCAAGUAGCGUGAAGGAUGAAGGCUUCGGGUUGUAAAGUACUUUCAGUCGGGAGGCGUUACCGACAGAAGAAGCACCGGCUAACUCCGUGCCAGCAGCCGCGGUAAUUC